rnacentral:rRNA from 1 species
AGCCCCCAGCAAGAACACAAGUAUUGGGGGUAUUGCCUGCCCAGUGACAUUGUUAAACGGCCGCGGUAUCCUAACCGUGCAAAGGUAGCGUAAUCACUUGUCUUUUAAAUAAAGACUAGAAUGAAUGGCCAAACGAGGCUCUACCUGUCUCUUACAGAUAAUCAGUGAAAUUGAUCUUCCUGUGCAAAAGCAGGAAUAACACUAUAAGACGAGAAGACCCUGUGGAACUUCAAAUAUAAAAUCAACUGUCACCAACACCUACCAAACAGGCCUAUACCAAACAGUAUCUGAUUUUUAUUUUCGGUUGGGGCGACCUCGGAGUAAAACAAAACCUCCGAAAAAUAAAGAAAUUCUUUAAACCUAGAACAACAACUCAAAGUGCUUACAGCAAAACGAUCCAAUAUAUUUGAUCAACGAACCAAGCUACCCCAGGGAUAACAGCGCAAUCCCAUUCUAGAGUCCCUAUCGACAAUGGGGUUUACGACCUCGAUGUUGGAUCAGGACAUCCUGAUGGUGCAGCCGCUAUCAAGGGUUCGUUUGUUCAACGAUUAAUAGUACCU